CCUACGGUGUGCAGCAGUGGGGAAUAUUGGGCACUGGGCGCAAGCCUGACCCAGCACCGCCGCGUGAAGGAAGAAGGCUUUCGGGUUGUACAAUUCUUUUAUGAGGGACGAAAGAAAUGCCGGUACCUCAUGCAUAAGCCACGGCGAAGUCCGUGCCAGCAGCCGCGGUAAUACGUAGGUGGCAAGCGUUAUCCGGAUUUACUGGGUGUAAAGGGCGUGUAGGCGGGACUGCAAGUCAGAUGUUAACAUUAUGGGCUCAACCCAUAACCUGUAUUUGAAACUGUAGUUCUUGAGUGAUGGAGAGGCAGGCGGAAUGCCGUGUGUAGCGGUGAAAUGCGUAGAUAUACGGAGGAACACCAGUGGCGAAGGCGGCCUGCUGGACAUUAACUGACGCUGAGGCGCGAAAGCGUGGGGAGCAAACAGGAGUAGAUACCCCGGUAGUC
rnacentral:rRNA from 1 species